AGAGUUUGAUCCUGGCUCAGGACGAACGCUGGCGGUGUGCUUAACACAUGCAAGUCGAACGGUAAGGCCCUUUUUUGGGGUACACGAGUGGCGAACGGGUGAGUAACACGUGAGUAACCUGCCCUCAUCUCUGGGAUAACAGUCGGAAACGGUUGCUAAUACUGGAUAUGAGCUUGCAAGGCAUCUUGUGGGUUGGAAAGAUAUUUUUUGGUUGGGGAUGGACUCGCGGCCUAUCAGCUUGUUGGUGAGGUAGUGGCUCACCAAGGCUUCGACGGGUAGCCGGCCUGAGAGGGCGACCGGCCACAUUGGGACUGAGAUACGGCCCAAACUCCUACGGGAGGCAGCAGUGGGGAAUAUUGCACAAUGGACGGAAGUCUGAUGCAGCAACGCCGCGUGCGGGAUGACGGCCUUCGGGUUGUAAACCGCUUUCAAUUGUGACGAAGCUUUUUGUGACGGUAGCAGUAGAAGAAGCACCGGCUAACUACGUGCCAGCAGCCGCGGUGAUACGUAGGGUGCGAGCGUUGUCCGGAUUUAUUGGGCGUAAAGAGCUUGUAGGCGGUUUGUCGCGUCGGGAGUGAAAACUUGGGGCUUAACCCUGAGCUUGCUUUCGAUACGGGCUGACUUGAGGGAGGUAGGGGAGAAUGGAAUUCCUGGUGGAGCGGUGGAAUGCGCAGAUAUCAGGAGGAACACCGGUGGCGAAGGCGGUUCUCUGGACCUUUCCUGACGCUGAGAAGCGAAAGCGUGGGGAGCGAACAGGCUUAGAUACCCUGGUAGUCCACGCCGUAAACGGUGGGUACUAGGUGUGGGGGACAUUCCACGUUCUCCGUGCCGUAGCUAACGCAUUAAGUACCCCGCCUGGGGAGUACGGCCGCAAGGCUAAAACUCAAAGGAAUUGACGGGGCCCCGCACAAGCGGCGGAGCAUGCGGAUUAAUUCGAUGCAACGCGAAGAACCUUACCAAGGCUUGACAUGCAUUAGAUCGCGUCAGAGAUGGCGUUUCCCUUCGGGGCUGGUGUACAGGUGGUGCAUGGUUGUCGUCAGCUCGUGUCGUGAGAUGUUGGGUUAAGUCCC
rnacentral:rRNA from 1 species